rnacentral:rRNA from 1 species
GACGAACGCUGGCGGCGUGCUUAACACAUGCAAGUCGAACGAAGCGGCGAACGGGUGAGUAAUACGUGGGUAACCUGCUCUCCUUUUUGGGAUAAGCCUUGGAAACGGGGUCUAAUACCGAAUAAAGGGGGAUGGGCUCGCGGCCUAUCAGCUUGUUGUAGGGGUGAUGGCCUACCACGGCGGUGACGGGUAGCCGGCCUGAGAGGGUGACCGGCAACAUUGGGACGGAGAUACGGCCCAGGCUCCUACGAGGGGGGGCAGUGGGGGAUAUUGCCAAAUGGGCGAAGGCAUGAUGCGGCGACGCCGCGUGGGGGAUGAGGGCUUUCGGGUUGUAAACCUCUUUCGCAAGCGAACGGGUAGGUGGAGAAGAAGCGCCGGCUAACUACGUGCCAGCAGCCGCGGUAAUUC